AAGACUAUACUUUCAGGGAUCAUUUCUAUAGUUCAUUACUAGAGAAGUUUCUCUGAAGGUGUAGAGCACCCCCC
rnacentral:snoRNA from 1 species